AAAAUCUGACAAAAUAAGAAAAAGGAAGAAAAAAAUGAAAGAGAAAGGAAACAAAACUAAGGGAUGAUGAUCGAUAAUACGUGUUAAUGUACUCGCAGAGUUUUCCCGAGUGUGAAAGGAAGGGUAUUAUACCUAACAGAUGUUCACCUUUAAAUGGAAAUGGAUCAGCAUUAGUUACUCGCGACCUUAAUACGAAUCAGGAUCAAUUUUCGUACGUUCUCGGUGUUUAAACGUUAAAUACUUAAACUGAGAAUUAAGUGAAUUCUAAUUAAAAAUGAUUUACGUUAAUUCUAAUUUGGUGUUCAUCAACUAUCAACAACAACAACAACAACAACUACAACAACAACUUCAAGUGUUCCAGUAAAAUCGUACGGAUUUUGUGCUUCGUUAAUUUUUAGUUUUCCGAUUCUACACCUUGUCAACUAUC